UCCCGGUUGCUCCGGGCAGUCUCGUCUGAGAAGUACAACAGACGACAAGGGUUGCGCUCGUUGCGGGACUUAACCCAACACCUCACGGCACGAGCUGACGACAGCCAUGCAGCAUCUGUGACGCGGCCCCGAAGGGAAACCGGCUUUCACCGGCGGUCCGCGCCAUGUCAAGCCCUGGUAAGGUUCUUCGCGUAGCUUCGAAUUAAACCGCACGCUCCGCUGCUUGUGCGGGUCCCCGUCAAUUCCUUUGAGUUUUAGCCUUGCGGCCGUAGUCCCCAGGCGGAGCACUUAUCGCGUUAGCUGCGCUACCCAGGGGGUCGAUACCCCAGACAGCUAGUGCUCAUCGUUUACGGCGUGGACUAC
rnacentral:misc_RNA from 1 species